rnacentral:tRNA from 1 species
CGCGGAGUAGAGCAGUUCGGUAGCUCGUCGGGCUCAUAACCCGGAGGUCGCAGGUUCAAAUCCUGCCUCCGCAACCA